rnacentral:rRNA from 1 species
AUUGAACGCUGGCGGCAUGCCUUACACAUGCAAGUCGAACGGUAACAGGUCUUCGGAUGCUGACGAGUGGCGAACGGGUGAGUAAUACAUCGGAACGUGCCCGAUCGUGGGGGAUAACGAAGCGAAAGCUUUGCUAAUACCGCAUAAGAUCUACGGAUGAAAGCAGGGGACCGCAAGGCCUUGCGCGAACGGAGCGGCCGAUGGCAGAGUAGGUAGUUGGUGGGAUAAAAGCUUACCAAGCCGACGAUCUGUAGCUGGUCUGAGAGGACGACCAGCCACACUGGGACUGAGACACGGCCCAGACUCCUACGGGAGGCAGCAGUGGGGAAUUUUGGACAAUGGGCGAAAGCCUGAUCCAGCCAUGCCGCGUGCAGGAUGAAGGCCUUCGGGUUGUAAACUGCUUUUGUACGGAACGAAAAGACUCUGGUUAAUACCUGGGGUCCAUGACGGUACCGUAAGAAUAAGCACCGGCUAACUACGUGCCAGCAGCCGCAGUAACAC